GUACGGGAGGCAGCAGUGGGGAAUAUUGGACAAUGGGCGCAAGCCUGAUCCAGCAAUGCCGCGUGAGUGAAGAAGGCCUUAGGGUUGUAAAGCUCUUUCGCCCGCGACGAUGAUGACGGUAGCGGGAGAAGAAGCCCCGGCUAAUUCCGUGCCAGCAGCCGCGGUAAUACGGAAGGGGCUAGCGUUGUUCGGAAUCACUGGGCGUAAAGCGCGCGUAGGCGGCUUGGCAAGUGCGGCGUGAAAGUCCUGGGCUCAACCUGGGGACGGCGCUGCGGACUGCGGAGCUAGAGUCCGGAAGAGGGUGGUGGAAUUCCGAGUGUAGAGGUGAAAUUCGUAGAUAUUCGGAGGAACACCGGUGGCGAAGGCGGCCACCUGGUCCGGCACUGACGCUGUAGCGCGAAAGCGUGGGGAGCAAACAGGAUUAGAUACCCGUGUAGUC
rnacentral:rRNA from 1 species